GAUGAACGCUGGCGGCGUGCCUAAUACAUGCAAGUCGAGCGAACAGACGAGGAGCUUGCUCCUCUGACGUUAGCGGCGGGCGGGUGAGUAACACGUGGAUAACCUACCUAUAAGACCGGGAUCACUUCGGGAAACCGGCGCUAAUACCGGAUAAUAUAUUGAACCGCAUGGUUCAAUAGUGAAAGACGGUUUUGCUGUCACUUAUAGCUGGAUCCGGGCCGCAUUAGCUAGUUGUUAAGGUCACGGCUUACCAAGGCAACGAUGCGUAGCCGACCUGAGAGACGGAUAGCCCGCACGAGAACGGAGACGGGCACAAGGCGACUGAGGGAGGCAGCAGAAGGGAAUGUUCCGCAACAGGCGGGAGCCUGACGGAACGACGGCGCGUGAGAGAUGGAGGUCUUCGGAGCGUGAAACUCUGUUAUUAGGUAUAAACAAAUGUGUAAUUAACUAUGCACGGCGUGACGGUACUGAAUCAGAAAGCAACGGCUAACUACGUG
rnacentral:rRNA from 1 species